ensembl:lncRNA
GAUAAACAAACUAUUGUUUCAGAAAUGUGAAUAGAGACAGUAUUAAAGUAGUUCUGUGCACUCUUUAGAAGUGUUUUGUAACUGAGAAGUUAUUCUUCUUGUUACAUAUUUUUCCUAGUUUCAGUCUUGUUUUGUGUGUAUUUAAAAAAUAACUGUUGAGCUUCUCUGAAAAGCUUCCUGUUAUUUUUUUGUUAAAGUGGUGUAGUUUCCUGAUGUGUCAGUAGAGCUGCUGUCUGCGUGAGACUCGAUCUGACACUCUUCUGCUGGGAUUGAGCUCUUCUGGAAACUGAACUUUAGAGAAAUGAUGCUGAUCUUUGGACUGAUGCUGCUGCUGCAAACUGCUGCAUGUGUGGAGUGGAACUGCAGUUUUAAUCAAUCAUAUCCCUGUUACGCAGCCCUGGGAGACAAACUCAAUCUGCUGAUGGUCCGGGAUGCCAGUGAAUAUGACCUGAAUUUAAAAAAGAGAAUAAACAACACACAAGAUGAUCAAGUUUGUAGAGUAAAAUAUGGCAACAAGAAGGAAUGUGAUCUUUAUAAUAACAGAACUGAAGUGACAGUCAUUAAUGGGACUGUGAUAAUAAACCGUGUGAUCAGAGCAGAUUCUGGAAAUUACAGAUUAACACUCACCGAACACUCAGGUGGCACAGAAACAUCUAGAGAUCUUCAAGUGAUUGUUGAAGGUACAGAAACUCUCUCAUCAGACUCAUUCCAGUCUCAUGUUCUCUAAAGAUCUCACUCUCAUGCAGAUGAAUCAGUUGAAUCUCUGUGAAGGUUUUUAUUCCUGUAGCACACAGUAAACACACUACAGACUCCAGUAAUAGUAUGAGUAAUGUGGAAGAACAAGAUUCUUCUGUGUUUGUCAUGUGACUGUCAUGUGUCCCUCCCUCCAGCUCCAGUUGCCUCAGUGGAAGUGUCAAUCAGCUGCUCCUCCAAUCAGAGGUCAGUGUCCUGCUCCUCAGAGGGGGAUCAGCUCCUCUACAGCUGGACUCUGAAUGGAGAUCCACAGAAGGAUGGAAACAGCAGCAUUGAUCUGGAUGAGGGAACUGAUGGAAACAUCAGCUGCAGCGUGAAGAACCACGUCAGUCACGUACAGAAGACCAUUAGAAUCAAAACCUGUCCUGGUCCAGAUCGUUUUUGCAGUUUUUAUCAAUCAGAUUCCUGUUACGCAGCUGUGGGAGACGAUCUUAAUCUACUGAUGGUGCGGGAUGCUCGAGAUCAAGAGCUGCAUUUGUAUAAGGAGUUAAUGGAUAGCAGAGAACUGGAAGUUUUUAGAAUAAAGAACAAAAAAGAGAAAAAACAUGAAUCCAUCAGAAACAGAUCUGAGUUCAUCUUUGAUAAUGGGACUCUGAUAAUAAACCGUGUGAUCAGAGCAGAUUCAGGGAAUUACAGAUUAGAAUUCUAUCACUCAGACGGUUUAAGACCGUUUAAAAAGCUUCUUCGUAUUAAUAUUGAAGCUCCUACUGGCUCAGUGGAAAUGUCAAUCAGCUGCUCCUCCAAUCAGAGGUCAGUGUCCUGCUCCUCUGAGGGCGAUCAGAUCAUCUACAGCUGGACUUUGAAUGGAGAAAUACUAGAACAAGGACCAAUGGAUGGAAUCACCACCAUUCAGCUAAAUGAGGAAACUGAUGGAAACAUCAGCUGCAGUGUCAAGAACCACAUCAGUCACGCACAGAAGACAAUUAAAGUCAAACCCUGUCCUGGUCCGGAUCGGUUCUGCAGUUUUAAUCAAUCAGAUCCCUGUUACACAGCUCUGGGAGACAAACUCAAUCUGCUGAUGGUGCUGAACACUAGAGAAUAUGACCUGAAGAUACGUAAGAGGAUAUACAACACUCAAGAUGAUCCAGUUUGUAGAGUAAAAUAUGGCAGGAUGAAGGAAUGUGAUCUUAAUAAUAACAGACCUGAAGUGAACAUCAUUAAUGGGACUGUGAUAAUAAACCGUGUGAUCAGAGCAGAUUCUGGGAAUUACAGAUUAACACUCACUGACUCAAAAGGCACAGAAACAUCUAGAGAUCUUCAAGUGAUUGUUGAAGCUCCUAUUGGCUCAGUGGAAGUGUCAAUCAUCUGCUCCUCCAGUGGGGUGAUGAGGGUGUUCUGCUCCUCUGAGGGGGAUCAGCUCCUCUACAGCUGGACUCUGAAUGGAGAUCCACUGAUGGAUGGAAACAGCAGCAUUGAUCUGGAUGAGGGAACUGAUGGAGACAUCAGCUGCAGCGUGAAGAACCACGUCAGUCACGCACAGAAGACCAUUAGAGUCCAACCCUGUCCUGUGUCUGUGGUGUUUGUUCUGGUCUGGUGUCUCCAGAUGAUGGUUCUGUUGGGUCUGUUAGGAGCUUUUCACAUCUACAUGAGACACAUGUCAGGAAAGAAACAGGAAGAUCAGAAAGUGAGAAUAAAACUAUUUAGAGAGUGAUAUGAACACACAGCAGAAGGUCUUCACAUCUGUGAGAAAUGACUUCAGAAUCUCAGUGAUUCUCACAUCAGUCCAGCUUUCACCUGCUGAAUAAAACCCGGAGACAGAAGAAGCUUUCA